ensembl:lncRNA
AUUUUCCGUAUAUUGUACUGUUUAUACGCUACAAAGGAAAAAAAAAAUGGAAUGCGCUGCAUAUAACAAUAAAAAUUCAAAUGUUGCAGUAUGUAAUAAUGAAAUGGUAAAUGGUAUUGCAGGUUGGUAUAACUCAUACGAAACUAGUCCAAAUAAUAACAAUAAAAAAAACAUCAAUAGUAACAUUAAUAAGCAGAUUGAAAGUAACACGUACAAAAAGAAAAUUUCAAAAGUUGAUAAUUGCGAAAGGAAUGGAAAAGAGGAAUUACAAACGAAUAAUAAGAAGUAUGAGGGGAAAAAGUUAAAUGGUAUGAAUAAUUACGUUGAUAAUAAAGUUGUUGAUAGUUUUAAAAAGUCACAGGAUUAUUCGAUUUAUAAUCAAAAAAAGUCCAAAAAUAUGAGAUCCAGAAAAUUUUCAAAAAGUGAUAAAGGUAUGUAUAAUACUAUGUAUUAUGAGGAAAAUGAAGUUAAUAAUAAUUAUGUUGGAAAGGGAAAAAAUUUCGAAACACAAGAUACAUUCAAUGAUGAUAUGAGUGAUCAAGAUUUUACAGAUUUCCAUUUAAAACGACAAAAUUUAUCUGGAAAUACUAAUAAUACAAAGGGAUGCCAUAUGAACGAAUCCUUUAAUAAAAAUAAUUCAAAUGUAAACAUAAAUAUUUCAGAUAACAUAGAAUUAAAUAACACAAAAGGAGUUUGUAAUAAUAAUGUAAAUAUGUAUUCAGCAAAUGUGGAUAAAGCUGCUUUUAACACGUUUGAGAACAACAACAAAAAAAAAAAUUUUCAUCAAGAGAAAAAUUCAUAUACAUUUGUCGGAAAGCAACGGGACGGAAAUAAUUACAGCGACAAAAAUAUUAAGCCGUAUUCUUUAAAAAGUGAUGAUAUGAAUACAGUAGAAUAUUUGAAUAAUAAUAAUGAUACAAAUAGUACUAUUAAAAAUAAUAACAAAAAGGACAAAAUAAAUACGAACUGCAAUAACCAUAAUAACAGUAAUAAUAAUAGUAUCGAUUAUAAAAGAAAUAGAUUUAUGGGUAAAAAUAAAUCUUUAAAUAGAAAUAAUGCUUACGAAAAAAAGGAAAUUGUCAAAACAUUUACAAGUAGUACUAUAGUUGAAGACAGUAUAGAAGGAGGGAAUGAUUAUAUACAUUUACCAACUAGUACGAUUCAUAGUGGUUUUUCAAAACCAAGUGAUAAAAAAGCGGAUACAAAUGAGUAUACGUCAAAUAGAGAAGUAAAUUAUGAUUUCAAAAGUGCUUUAAACUUUCAAUUUUGUAAAACAAAAAUGUGUCCAUACAUGAAUACUAAAGAGAAAUGCAAACGAUUUUCUAAUAAUAUGUGUCCAUAUGCACAUGAUAAAAGUGAAUUAAAACCUAUUCCUAACUUAUAUAAAACUGCAAUGUGUCGUAAUUUUAUGAAAAAUAUGUGUUUUAAGUCAAAGAAGGAAUGUAAUUUUGCACAUAAUGUUGAAGAACUUAGAUCGACUGAUGAAUUUUACAAAACAACAUUAUGUAAAUUUUACCUUAAUGGUUAUUGCAAAGCAGAUAAAAAUUGUCGACAUGCUCAUGGACAGAAAGAGUUAAAAUGUAGACCAACUAAUUAUACGUUGUUAGAAAAUGGUAAGGAAUGUUUGAAAAAUAUGAAUACUAUUAAUAUUGAUGAUAGUACUGAAUACAGUGGUAACAAAGAUACUAAUAAUGAAAAAGAAAAUAGUAAAGUACAUAUGAAUAAUGAUAUGAUAAAUAAUUUAAAAAAUUCAGAUGAAAAUUGCUAUGUAAAUGAUAGUAAAGAAAAUACUUUAACAAAAGAUGAAGCAGGAGAUAGUGUAUUAAAUAUGUAUGAUACAAAAAUAGAUAAUAACAAAAUGAAAAAAAAAAAUUCUUAUAACGAUUCAAACCAACUUACAUCUUCUCGCUCGAAGAGCAUAUACCCAUACGUAUCAGGUGAAGUAUAUAAAAAUGUAACAAUGUGCGAAAAUGAUGAUAAUGAAAGUGCUAAAACAAUUGAAGAUUGUAAUUUUAUGGAGAAUAACAGAAGACGAUCCAAAGUGAAAAACUUUGAAAGUUCAAAGAGUUAUGGUAGAUAUGACGAAAAUAAUACCGAACUUACAUCACAAAAUAAGGAGAAUGAUAUCUGUGAUGAUAUAAAAAAUAACAAAAUGAAUGAUUCUAAGAAAGUAAGUGCAAGGAAAAAUAUAAUAUCAGGUAAAUUUAAUUCAUUAGAAAACCAGUAUGAGAAAGAAAAAGAGUGUGAAAGAGAUGUAGAAGAUAAUGGAAUGGGAAUAAGAAAAGUUA